rnacentral:lncRNA from 1 species
AUGCCUCGGGUCUUACUGAGAGGCAUCCUCCUUUUCUUCCCUGUUUCUUCACUAUGUCACAGCAUACCCACAACAGCCUGAUCUGCAAAUCAACAGUGUAAAGAGCUCAAAUCCAGAGGCUGAAGGCUUAUUGUGUUGACUUUCUCAUCCUAGAGGUCACUGAAUGCAGAACUUGGGAACUUCUGGACUUCCUAUGCAACAGCUUGCUUAAACCUGGAAGGGACCCCUGGCUGGGAAUAGUCACAUUUAUCAAAUGGUUAAUAGAUCUUCUACUGGGUUAAAAGCUUUACAUUCGAAAUCAUCCUAUCUUCACAAAAAAAUCUCUCUGAAGUAGUUAUUGGCACCUCUGCUGUGUUAGUAAGGAAACGAAGUUCAGCAGAAGAUACGAUUUUACUCAAGAUGACACAGCUGGAACUGUGGUUAGAAAACAUUUUUAUGAAUACUAUUAAACUUAGAAAUGUGUAAGACUUGCUUAUGGCUUUCAAUUUUUGUAAAUAUCUGUUUAUACUUGAAAAGAAUGUGUAUUCUGAAGUUCUUAGGUGUCCUCUGUGUGUCAGUUAAAUCAAAUUAUUUGUUGUGCUGUUCAGAUCUUCAAUAUCUUUAGUAAGAUAUUGCUAAGAUUCUACUAAGAUGGUGGAUUUGUCCAUUUUCUCUUUUAGUUUGGUCAUUUUUUUGCCUUAUAUAUUUUGAUGCUAUGUUACUAAGGGUAUAUGAAUUAUAUUUGUUAUAUAUGUCUAUGGACUGAAACUUUUAUGUUUUUAAAGUAUCCCUCUUGCACCCUUUUCAGUAAAUGGCAUGGGGAAAAUCUGAUUGCCACAGACAGAAGAAUGAAACUGGAUGCCUAUUUCUCACAAUACACAAAAGCGAUUCAAGAUUAAAGACUUAACUGUAAGACUUGAAACUGUAAAAAUACUAGAAGAAAAUCUAGGGAAAACUGUUCUGGACAUUGGCCUAGAAAAAGAAUUUCUGACUAAGACUUCAAAAGCACAGUAAACAAAAAUAGACAAACGGGACUUAAUGAAACUAAAACUCUUCUGCAGAGCAAAGAAAAUAAGAAACAGAGUGAACAGACAACCUGCAAAAUGGGAGAUAGACAAUGGAGACUAAGAAGAGCAAAGGAAUGACAGAGAGGUGGAGGAUGAGAAAUUACUUAAUGGGUACAAAGUACAUUAUUUGAGUGAUGGAUGCCCUAAAAGCUCUGACUUGACCAUUAUGCAAUCUCUGCAUGCAAUAAAAUUGCACUUGCACCCCAUACAUUUAUAUAAAUUAAAAAGUAAAAUAUCCCUCUUUACCACUAGUAAUGAUUUUCCCCUUAAAAUCUAUUUUAACUAUGUAGCAGACCCUCUUAAUAUUCUGCUCAUAUUUUCCUGUCACUUGCCAUUGCUGUGCACACUGAUGGUUUUCCUACUGCCAUCACCAGUACUCCAUUUGAGAGCUUUCUCUGGUAAGCUUGGUUCGUGUGCAGGGAAGGGAGGCUAAAGGUUCUGGGAAGUUGAAACACCAGUAGCAGUCCUCAUCCAGUGACAGAUGGAAACUGGAGGAUAAAUAACUCAGCUUCGUCAUCUAUUGGGUGGGACCACUGUGAGGGAUAUUCUGUAUUAUCUCUCAGAGGUCCUCAGCAGGGCUGACUCCCAGGUGUCCUUUGUGGUAACCUGCUCACUAAUACCUGGCAUUGGCUUCUUUCUCUUCCUUUUAUCACCCUUUCCCCUUCCCAGUUCUCCUAUUAGAGCUUCUUGUGAUCACUUUCCAAAUGAACUAUGUGCUAUGGUUUGAAUAUUUGUCACCUCCAAAACUCAUGCUCAAUUUAAUCCCUAAUGUAGGAAUAUUGAGUGGUGCAGCCUUUAAGAUGUGAUUGGAUCAUGAGGACUCUCCCCUCAUGAAUGGAUUAAUUCAUUCAUGGAUUAAUUGAUUAAUGAAUUAAUGAGUUAAUGGAUUAAUGGGUUAUCAUUGGAGGGGAACUUGUGGUUUAUAAGAGAGAGACCUGAGCUAGCAUCUUAGUAUGCUCAGCCCCCUGUCUGUGUGAUGCUCUGCACUACCUUGGGAUUGUGUAGAAAGUCUUCACCAACAAGAAGGCUUUUACCAGAUAUGUCCCCUUGGCCUUGGGCUUCCCAGUCUCAAGAACUGCAAGAAAUAAAUUCCUUUUCUUGAUAAAUUAUCAAGUUUCAAGUAUUUCAUUAUAAGCAACAGAAAAUGAAUGAAUACACUAUGUGUUCCUAAAUAUUUGUCUGAGGUCUGUAUCAGAGAGAAUCACAGAUAGUUUUAUGUUUUAGUGUUUGCUUGACAUAUCUUUUUCUAUCUUUUUAUUUCCAACCUUUCUAUAUCCUCUUAUUUUAGACAUGUCU